UACUUUAAAACCUUCUGUAUUCAAACUUGGUUCACAUCUCCUGGCAACGAUUUUUAAAUCCUUAUUUUUGUCUUGUACUUAGUAAAGGUUUCUGUUAACCAAAUGUCUCUUCUCUUCCCUCAUGAGAAUGUCCAAUUAGUUGAAGUCUGGAAGGACCUCUCUUCUUCACAAAUACAGAGGAGAUGUAUAGACUUUAAAACAACUCAAUUCCAAAUUCUUUCACUAGGUGCCAACACGAUUAUAACAACAUAACCCAAACUUCCUCAGGGAGUAUUUUUCAGAACUAAUUUUUAGAAUUAAUCAUGACAAAGUCUUGUGUUCCAUGAAUAUGUUUCCUGAAGUGACAAUUUAUAAAUUCGACGAUUACACAUAUGUGAGAAACC
rnacentral:lncRNA from 1 species